GGGGAUUUAGCUCAGUGGCGUAAGCACCUGCCUUGCAAGCAGGUAUUCGUGAGUUCAAUCCCUG
rfam:Cavia porcellus supercont2_47 genomic scaffold, whole genome shotgun sequence.